rnacentral:rRNA from 1 species
CCUACGGGAGGCAGCAGUAGGGAAUAUUGCUCAAUGGGGGAAACCCUGAAGCAGCAACGCCGCGUGGAGGAUGAAGGUUUUCGGAUUGUAAACUCCUUUUGUUAGAGAAGAUAAUGACGGUAUCUAACGAAUAAGCACCGGCUAACUCCGUGCCAGCAGCCGCGGUAAUACGGGGGGUGCAAGCGUUACUCGGAAUCACUGGGCGUAAAGAGCGCGUAGGCGGGAUAGCAAGUCAGAUGUGAAAUCCUAUGGCUUAACCAUAGAACUGCAUUUGAAACUGUUAUUCUAGAGUAUGGGAGGGGUAGAUGGAAUUCUUGGUGUAGGGGUAAAAUGCGUAGAGAUCAAGAGGAACUCUCAUUGCGAAGGCGAUCUGCGGGAACAAAACUGACGCUGAUGCGCGAAAGUGUGGGGAGCAAACAGGAUUAGAUACCCCUGUAGUC